rnacentral:rRNA from 1 species
UAACGGCGAGUGAAGCGGCAACAGCUCAAAUUUGAAAUCUGGCGCAAGCCCGAGUUGUAAUUUGCAGAGGAUGCUUUUGGCGCGGUGCCUCCUGAGUUCCCUGGAACGGGACGCCGGAGAGGGUGAGAGCCCCGUACAGUUGGACACCAAGCCUUUGUAAAGCUCCUUCGACGAGUCGAGUAGUUUGGGAAUGCUGCUCAAAAUGGGAGGUAAAUGCCUUCUAAAGCUAAAUACCGGCCAGAGACCGAUAGCGCACAAGUAGAGUGAUCGAAAGAUGAAAAGCACUUUGAAAAGAGGGUUAAACAGUACGUGAAAUUGUUGAAAGGGAAGGGCUCGUGACCAGACUUGCGCCCGUCGGAUCAUCCGGCCUUCUGGCCGGUGCACUCCGGCGGGCUCAGGCCAGCAUCGGUUCUUCUGGGGGGACAAAAGCGGCGGGAACGUGGCUCUUCGGAGUGUUAUAGCCCGCUGCAGAAUACCCCCGGGGGGACCGAGGACCGCGCUUCGGCAAGGAUGCUGGCGUAAUGGUCACCAGCCACCCGUCUUGAAACACGGACCAAGGAGUCAAGCAUUAGGGCGAGUGUUUGGGUGUUAAACCCGCACGCGAAAUGAAAGUGAACGCAGGUGAGAGCUUCGGCGCAUCAUCGACCGAUCCUGAUGUUUUCGGAUGGAUUUGAGUAAGAGCCUUACCGCUUGGACCCGAAAGAUGGUGAACUAUGCUUGGAUAGGGUGAAGCCAGAGGAAACUCUGGUGGAGGCUCGCAGCGGUUCUGACGUGCAAAUCGAUCGUCA